UUGAACGCUGGCGGCAUGCUUUACACAUGCAAGUCGAACGGCAGCGCGGGCUUCGGCCUGGCGGCGAGUGGCGAACGGGUGAGUAAUGCAACGGAACGUGCCCAGUAGUGGGGGAUAGCCCGGCGAAAGCCGGAUUAAUACCGCAUACGACCUGAGGGUGGAAGCGGGGGACCGAAAGGCCUCGCGCUAUUUGAGCGGCCGAUGUCGGAUUAGCUAGUUGGUGGGGUAAAGGCUUACCAAGGCGACGAUCCGUAGCCGGUCUGAGAGGACGACCAGCCACACUGGGACUGAGACACGGCCCAGACUCCUACGGGAGGCAGCAGUGGGGAAUUUUGGACAAUGGGGGCAACCCUGAUCCAGCCAUGCCGCGUGCGGGAAGAAGGCCUUCGGGUUGUAAAACGCUUUUGUUCGGGAAGAAAUCCUCUGGGCUAAUACCCCGGGGGGAUGACGGUACCGGAAGAAUAAGCACCGGCUAACUACGUG
rnacentral:rRNA from 1 species